UACGGGGGGGGCAAGCGUUGUUCGGAAUUACUGGGCGUAAAGGGCUCGUAGGUGGCCAACUAAGUCAGACGUGAAAUCCCUCAGCUUAACUGGGGAACUGCGUCUGAUACUGGAUGGCUUGAGUUUGGGAGAGGGAUGCGGAAUUCCUGGUGUAGCGGUGAAAUGCGCAGAUAUCAGGAAGAACACCCGUGGCGAAAGCGGCUCUCUGGGACGGUACUGACGCUGAGACGCGAAAGCGUGGGGAGCGAACAGG
rnacentral:rRNA from 1 species